CCGAAAGAGGGUUCGGGCCCCGGUGAAAACAUUUUUUCGGGCCUCCCAGCAAGGGCAGACCAGCUAAACAGGGCCGACGAAGCCAGGGAAGCUGAGC